GUCUGAGACCUGAUGCCGAGCCGAUUGUGGUGAAGUGGAUGAUCCUAUGCUGUCGAGAAAAGCCUCUAGCGAGUUUCAUGGCGGCCCGUACCCUAAACCGACUCAGGUGGUCAGGUAGAGAAUACCGAGGCGUUCGGGUGAACUAUGGUUAAGGAACUCGGCAAAAUGCCCCCGUAACUUCGGGAGAAGGGGGGCCAUGCCUGGUGAUCGGACUUGCUCCGUGAGCUGGGGGUGGCCGCAGAGACCAGCGAGAAGCGACUGUUUACUAAAAACACAGGUCCGUGCGAAGCCGUAAGGCGAUGUAUACGGACUGACGCCUGCCCGGUGCUGGAACGUUAAGGGGACCGGUUAGCUGCUCUUCGGGGUGGCGAAGCUGAGAACUUAAGCGCCAGUAAACGGCGGUGGUAACUAUAACCAUCCUAAGGUAGCGAAAUUCCUUGUCGGGUAAGUUCCGACCUGCACGAAUGGCGUAACGACUUCUCGACUGUCUCAACCAUAGGCCCGGUGAAAUUGCACUACGAGUAAAGAUGCUCGUUUCGCGCAGCAGGACGGAAAGACCCCGGGACCUUUACUAUAGUUUGAUAUUGGUGUUCGGUUCGGCUUGUGUAGGAUAGGUGGGAGACUGUGAAGCGGCCACGCCAGUGGUUGUGGAGUCGUCGUUGAAAUACCACUCUGGUCGUGCUGGAUGUCUAACCUGGGUCCGUGAUCCGGAUCAGGGACAGUGUCUGAUGGGUAGUUUAACUGGGGCGGUUGCCUCCUAAAGGGUAACGGAGGCGCCCAAAGGUUCCCUCAGCCUGGUUGGUAAUCAGGUGUUGAGUGUAAGUGCACAAGGGAGCUUGACUGUGAGACCGACGGGUCGAGCAGGGACGAAAGUCGGGACUAGUGAUCCGGCAGUGGCUUGUGGAAGCGCUGUCGCUCAACGGAUAAAAGGUACCCCGGGGAUAACAGGCUGAUCUUCCCCAAGAGUCCAUAUCGACGGGAUGGUUUGGCACCUCGAUGUCGGCUCGUCGCAUCCUGGGGCUGGAGUCGGUCCCAAGGGUUGGGCUGUUCGCCCAUUAAAGCGGUACGCGAGCUGGGUUUAGAACGUCGUGAGACAGUUCGGUCCCUAUCCGCUGUGCGCGUAGGAAUAUUGAGAAGGGCUGUCCCUAGUACGAGAGGACCGGGACGGACGAACCUCUGGUGUGCCAGUUGUUCUGCCAAGGGCAUGGCUGGUUGGCUACGUUCGGAAAGGAUAACCGCUGAAAGCAUCUAAGCGGGAAGCCUGCUUCGAGAUGAGUAUUCCC
rnacentral:rRNA from 2 species